rnacentral:rRNA from 1 species
AUACGGAGGGGGUUAGCGUUGUUCGGAAUUACUGGGCGUAAAGCGUACGUAGGCGGAUUAGUAAGUUAGAGGUGAAAUCCCAGGGCUCAACCCUGGAACUGCCUUUAAUACUGCUAGUCUAGAGUUCGAGAGAGGUGAGUGGAAUUCCAAGUGUAGAGGUGAAAUUCGUAGAUAUUUGGAGGAACACCAGUGGCGAAGGCGGCUCACUGGCUCGAUACUGACGCUGAGGUACGAAAGUGUGGGGAGCAAACAGGAUUAGAUACCCUGGUAGUCCACACCGUAAACGAUGAAUGCCAGUCGUCGGGUAGUAUACUAUUCGGUGACACACCUAACGGAGUAAGCAUUCCGCCUGGGGAGUACGGUCGCAAGAUUAAAACUCAAAGGAAUUGACGGGGGCCCGCACAGGCGGUGGAGCAUGUGGUUUAAUUCGAAGCAACGCGCAGAACCUUACCAACCCUUGACAUCCUGUGCUACACGGAGAGAUCCGUGGUUCCCUUCGGGGACGCAGUGACAGGUGCUGCAUGGCU